UGUGAGUUUAACACUUCAUGAUUGAGAGCUGCCCUUCAUGGCAACAGAAUCCACAACAACAAUGACUUUUAUCAGCAUCUUCAUCUGGGCACUUGUCAUCUGCACUCAGGAAUCCAGUGGACAAGUUACUGUGACUCAGACUCCAGCAGUGAAAUCUGUUCUCCCAGGAGACACAGUCACUCUGAGCUGUAAAACCAGCAGCGCAGUGUACAGCAAUAGUAAUGGCAACUGGCUAGCCUGGUACCAACAGAAACCUGGAGAAGCUCCCAAACUCCUGAUCUAUUAUGGAAGUACCCUUCAGUCUGGGAUCCCAACUCGUUUCAGUGGCAGUGGAUCUGGGACUGACUUCACUCUGACCAUCAGUGGAGUCCAGGCUGAAGAUGCAGGAGAUUACUACUGUCAGAGUUACCACUAUCUCAACAGUGUCAAUGUGUUCACACAAUUAUAA